UAGGAGCAAAUGAAAACUUUUAUCAAUUAAGCAAACAAUAUAAACAAUAUAUAACAACUAUUUACAAACUAUUUUAUUUACAGCACUCAUCUAUACAAGAUCCUUAGGCUACUAAAAGGAAUAGAGUGAUGGGUAUAGGGAUUGAGUGCUGAGGGAUGAGUAAUGAGGGAUGAGUAAUGAGGGAUGAGUAAUGAGGGAUGAGUAAUGAGUGAUAGAGCGCUGAGGGAUAGAGCGCUGAGGGAUAGAGCGCUGAGGGAUAGAGCGCUGAGGGAUAGAGCGCUGAGGGAUAGAGCGCUGAAGGAUAGAGCGCUGAAGGAUAGAGCGCUGAAGGAUAGAGCGCUGAAGGAUAGAGCGCUGAAGGAUAGAGCGCUGAAGGAUAGAGCGCUGAAUGAUAGAGUGCUGAGGGAUGAUACACUGGUCCUCAGUCCUGGGUUCUCUGUGCAGACCUGUUAAUGAAGAAAAGAGAUUUUUUUUAAAAUAUUGAAUUAAUCAAAAAGAACAAAAUUAAUUUAUACUUACUGGUGGAGAGCUUGAGCAAUGUAGGGAAAAGCAGUGAUGGAAAAGAACAAAUAGGAAAUGCAACAGAGGAAGGAAAGAUUAAUUUUAGGGGUCUAAUUAUAGCAAGAAAGUGUUCGAUCAGGUAGAGGGUAGACAGAAGGACAUUGCUCAGAGCUUCUCCAAUGUGUCCAUCAUCAGUGGGACAUGCUGCCAGAGGAGUUGCGAAACUGUACUGGCUAAUGCUGCUGGGUCGCUGUAGAGCUCCAGGGGCUGAGAAAACAAUACUUCACAAUGCACCGUCAGCUGAUCCUAUUGACAAAUUACACACACAAACACACACAGAAAUCCAACAGAGUCACCAAGUUACAGAUACAAUACUGAGAAAUUAUGCAUCAUGGUAUCUGAAAAUAUUGAACACUUACAAUAAGCAUUGUGAAGUACAGCUCUGCCGCAGGCUCCCACACGUCCGGGUUCCACAUGCUGAUAAACGCAUACAGGCUCUCCAAGAAUCCUCCCUCACACUUUAGGAAUAUCAUGGUUAAAAUGCCUCAGGAGCUGAGUCGUUCAUGACGUAGCCGAAGAGAAGCAGCUCAUAAAACACGUCCACGAAGUUGUAAUGGUGGAGCUG
ensembl:lncRNA